GUCCUCGCUCGCGUCCCCGCUCCCUCCUCCCCUCUGCUUCUCCCUCCCCUCCACUCCCCCAUUGGCUUCUACCCCUCCCCCUUCUUCCUCCGCCUCUCCCACCAUUGGUUCCCUCCCCUACUCCAUUCCUUCUCACCUUUUCCCUUUUACCCAUUGGCGUGAGUAUUUUUCCUCAGCUUCCCUCUUUCUCCGUAUUCUGCUCCUCCUCAGUCCCAUCCUCCACGCUUUGGAAGCUACUGCCUUACUGCCCGGAGCGCCGUCGUCCCCGAACCUCCCCUGCUUCUCCCUUUCCUUCUGUUCCGGUUUCUGGUCGUAACUCAAGAGCAAACCACCGUACUGCAAAGGAACCAGAUAUUGUGCUCGCGGUUCCAAACCGGGCAUGGGCACCGAAUGCUUCUCGAUAAAUCCCCUUAUGGUCUCUGAGCAUUAAAGAAAGCAAGGGAGGAAAACAUGCGCCCAAGCUCGUUCGCAGGAACAUGUUCGCGUGUCUGCGCCUGUGUGCGCAGCCAGUUUUCUGGCUGAGGAUCGCUCGCCAACUACAGACAUCACCCGCCCAGGACCCGGUGCCACACUCACCCAGAAGACGAAACUCCACAGGAGCGAGAAGAGGAGUCCAUUUCUCCGUCGGCUCGGCACGGCACGGGGAUGCAGGCCCCUGAUUCAGUACGUUCUGUGAAAGUGGAGCGAGAAGCCAAGACGUGGAUCGAGAAGCCCCGUGGGGCGGGUCUCAGGGUGGCCCAAAAGACCCCUGUUCACGCCACUACCAGCCUAACUUUAGGAACUGUCGUCCACCUGGCUUUUAUUAUACUGCCUUAAACAUAUUCACUUUUUUGAGACUCUAGAAAUUUCACAAGUUUUGGGGUAGAGCACACUGGGCUUUGGGUGUGUUUCUCAUGAGGGCACUGACGCUGAAUGGUGCAGUGAGAAAGGACGGUAGAAACCACUGCCUUUGCUUUUACCAUUGAAGAAACUGAGGUCCUGUGACUUUCCCGAGGUCAUCGGAAUCUGCCUUGCACAGGAGACUUAAAAUAGUUGCCAGCAGAUAAAAGAAUGAGCAAAACCACAUCUACUCCAAUUUGUUAAGUCUGAAAGAAAGUAAUUGAGGGGGGAUUCCUCUUUGGGGAAAUAUUUAUUUCCUGCAUUGAAAAUAGUUUAAUGUUAGUAAACAUAUAAAAAGUAUUUUAAAUUCAAGUUAUUCUUUAUUUCUUAUGUUACAUAAGGUACUGAAGUUAGCCAAGGUUGCUUUUGUGUUAUAAUGAUGCAGCUGCUGCCAACCAGAAGUACAUUUACGGUCUGUCAGUAAAGAAAACAAAAACUGCCUGUUGGUAAAAAUCUAUUAGAAAAUAUUUGUCAGUAAAUUUGUCACAAUAUUCCA
rnacentral:lncRNA from 10 species